rnacentral:rRNA from 1 species
AAUAGCUGCAGUAUUUUGACUGUACAAAGGUAGCAUAAUCAUUAGUUUUUUAAUUGAAAGCUUGUAUGAAUGGCUGAAUGAGAAAGAGACUGUCUAUUUAAAAUUUUAAAAGAAUUUUAUUUUUAAGUUAAAAAGCUUAAAUAUUAUUAAAAGACGAGAAGACCCUAUAGAGUUUAACUAAAUUUAUAUUUAUUUAAUUUAAGAAUUUUAUAUUUAAAAAUGUAAUAUUUAAUUUGAUUGGGGUGAUCUUAAAAUUUAAAAAACUUUUAUAAAUUUAUAACAUUUAUUUAUGAGUCUAUGAUCCAUUAUUAAUGAUUAAUAGAUUAAAUUACCUUAGGGAUAACAGCGUAAUUUUUUUGGAGAGUUCUUAUUGAUAAAAAAGAUUGCGACCUCGAUGUUGGAUUAAAAUUAACUAUUGGCGCAGAAGUUGAUGGGUUAGGUCUGUUCGACCUUUAAAAUUUUACAUGAUCUGAGUUUAAACCGGUGUGAGCCAGGUUGGUUUCUAUCUUUAAUUGAUUAUAAUAUUUUAGUACGAAAGGACCGAUUAUAUAUAAAAUUUAUUUGAUAUAGUUUAAUAUUAAAAUUGUUAUUUUGGCAGAUUAGUGCAUUAAAUUUAGAAUUUAAUUAUGUAUGUAAAUACAGAUAAUACUUGAUAUGGUUAGAUAUUUUGUUAAUAUUAAUUAGAAGAUUAAUUUUGAUUAUUUGUGUUUUAGUAGGAGUU